rnacentral:lncRNA from 1 species
AGCAGCAGCCAACACACGGCAGCACCCACAGAGUCAACAGCCGUUCCCAUCUCCACCCGACAAACCCAGCAGACCCGAACCGGCCACCAGCUGCUGCACAGCCAUCGCCGCCCAAACGCCAGACCUGCCACCCAAAGCAGAGGAGAAGACGAAACCCACAACAAAUUGACCCGCCGUGUAGUCGAAGAAGGAGAAGGGAGAGAAGCCGAUCUGGACCAAAAAGAAAAAAUUAAAAUCAACUGCUGUUGUGCGUUGUUUCUCCUUGUUGCAGGUGACGGUGACCUUCACCGCCGACGUAGGGAGACAGAGAAGAAGAAGAGGUUCCCGAUCCACCGGUUUCUGCCACCUUCAUCGGCGGCGGCGCGUGGAACCACGCGCCGCCAGUGACGCCACUGUUCUGGCAGCUCCAGAAGUCGGCCUGACACUGUUCCGGGUUGUUUGGUUCAUUUUGUAAUUUUCAAAUUGUUUAAUGUAAUAUUUGUGUAAUUUUGAGUUUUUUUUUAUAAUUUGUACUUUGUGUAAAUGUGGAGGAAAAAGAAAAAAAGAAAAGAAAAGAAAAGAAAAGAAAAAAACAAAUAUUAAUAGAAAAAGAGUUGUGCGUGUUUUGUUUUUUUGUUAUGUAUAUUAUUGAAUAAAAAGAAAAAAAAUGAAUUUAAUUUAUAUGCACAAAUAUCUAAAGGACAGAUAAAAAUCAUGUUGUAUUUUCCAUAAAAAUGUAGAACAUGUAUCUACAUAUAUUUUGGGAACUAAUAACUGAUUUAUCAAAGCCUUAGAAUUGGGCUAAAAUUUUAUUUUUAAAACGCAUCAAGUCCACGAAGCAGCUUACCUCAGGUAGGGUGCGUUAGGGGUGCGAAUACCUUCCCUAACCACAACCAGUCCCUUACCCGCGAAUCUUUGACAAGACCAGUACAUCAGGUUUCCUAGUAGCCCUCAAUAAAUUACUAGGUGGCGACCCCAACGAACCAAGCAAGCAAAACACAUAACAACAGAAAAAUCGCCAGCAGAUGCCGCGCGGAUUUUGACGUGCGACAGAAUGGCGACUCCACUGGGGAAGGUAUUGUUUCUGAUGAUAUUGGACUAAGCUUUGUGUAUUUGAUGUGUUUAUGUUUUGCAUUUUUGUCUUGUUUUAUUUUUGUUUUAUUCAUGCAUUUUGUAGAAUUGUCUCAUGCAUCACAUAUUUUAAUUUUUUUAAAGCACACACAAGCUUCAGGUUAGGAGGGGGACUAGCAGCUUACCUUAUGACUUUUAGUCAAGGUUUAAGUUUGUGUAAACCCCAACUCUUCGUUGAGUGCUUAGACUGGUAAUAGUUGGACAUGUGCCAUCUCAUUGCCUACAAGCCCCCAUAUUGCCUCCACGAGGGCAAUCACUGGGACAACAAGAGACCCUUUUUAGAGACCAAGUAAUAAACCUACCUUUUGUCUCACUUAAAAAAUUAGAACCUGCCUUUAGGAUGUGUGCUCCGUAUAUAUUGUUUUGCAUCAGGGCAAACCCUUCUUGAAGCAUCUUGAACUCAAGACUUUUGGGUGACCCAAUGGCCGUCACUUAGAAAAUUUUCAUUGUAGAGUUUGGGCAAGAAUCAAGAUUCUUGUUUCAUCAUACAAGAGUUACGACCAUAUGUCACCCCUCGAAGGGCGAGUUCAUCAUAUAGUUUACAUGUCCAUACAUUUAUCAUGCAUGUACCGGGUUGAAAGAUAGGUUCUCCCACACAAGUUGUGCUACGCGCGAAUGAAGAAAGAUGAUAGAAGCAAAGAAAGUUGUCGGAGAAAGGCUCAUUGUCAAAAGGAAGUUGAGAGCAUCAGAGGUGAAGUAGCCAGAAUCAGAUAUGCUUGAUCAAGUGUAGAGCAUCAAAGGGAAAGGGAAUGUCUACACAGUCUUCUGUGGGAACACUGCUUGUCCAUGUCUCAUUGAAGUUACAUCUCCAUUUUAGUCCUGAACAACAACAGCAAUGCCUUCAGUCAUCAACUAAGGACAACUUUGGUUCUUGUUCAGUUGCACUGCUAAUUGUUCAUCGCCUCCAUAUCUUUCAAUGACACCAAAUAAUUGCUAGCCUUCUGUGCAUGGUGCAUUAGUCUUCUUUGAAGUUACCCCAACUGUUAGCUCAAUUCCAGUUCAGCGGCACAAGAUGUAAAAAAAAAAACAAAAAAAAAACAAAAAAAAAACCCCGAAAAAAAAACUGAAAAAAAAAACCAUGAUUCGACCCUGAACUUCUACGUUGCAGAGCUCUCUCUGUAGAUAUUUCUUUAUGGAUCUGCAAGUGGGGAAUGCAAGAGGGGAUGUAGUAUUUUCAUAUGCUACAAAAAUUCGCCCCAUCAAUUUCAGAACCGAAACACUGGAGUAGGCAGAAGGGUCACACCUGGUCUGAAAACAUGAGCCGUCAUUAAACUUCAACGCGGCAGAGCUCUCUCUACAAAAAUCCGUUUGUGGCUCUGCAAGUAGGGAAUGCAAGAGGGGAUGCAGUACUUUCAUAUGCUACAAAACUUUGGCUCAUCAGUUUCAGCACUGAAACACUGGAGUAGGCCGAAGAGUCAGACCUAGUCUGAAAACAUGAGCAGUCGUCGAACUUUGACGUGUCAGAGCUCUCUCUACAAAAACCCGUUUGUAGCUCUGCAAGUGGAGAAUGCAAGAGGGGAUGUAGUAGUUUCAGAAAAUGUGAAAAUUUAUGCCACCAGUUUCCGCAUCGAAACACUGUAGUAGGCAGAAAAGCCAGACUUGAGCUAGAAAACAGGAGCAAAUAUAGAACUUCACCGUGGCAGAGCUCUCUCUGCAGAAACCUGUUUGUAGAUCUGCAAGUGGAGAAUCCAAGAAGGGAUGCAGCAGUUUCUGAUCAUCUAUAAUUUUCUCUCAUCGGUGUUAGCUUGAAAAUGCAAAAGAAGGGAAAAGAGACAAACCUCGGCUGAAAAAUAGAAAGAAGAUUGAAACUUCAACAGAGCAGAGCUCCCUCUACAGGUGUCUGUUUGCUGCACCAUCAGUGAGGAAUCAAAGAGGAGACAAAGGAGUUUUAGAUUCAUCAAGUUCUCUUCCAGUUUUGACAAUGUGUGAUUCCACACGUCGGCAGUGGCAAUGCUGCAAGUCUCCGGGUGCUGCCAAGAUUACCUAGCUGUUGGAAGGUUUCCAACAAUCCACAAACGACCACAACAACAGGGGAAGAUUGACAUGAUGUUGUGAAGAUUGUCAAAAGAAUUGAACAAGCUAUAAAGAGAGGAAAGAUUGAAGGUUUUGCCAUGGAUUCCAGAACUAUGAAGAGAGUUGAAUCAGAAGAUGACUCUCAAUUGAGAAACCUCAGUUAUUUUGCCUAGUCAAGUCUCGCUCAAGCAUCAACUACUCCAAUGUCUCUGCCAAAGAUAGUCAUUCCUUUGCCAUGUGGGUUUAUUUACCAGCAUCUGCCAGAUUCCAGACUUUUUCCUGACUCCGACAAAACCCAUGCAACCACCGUUUUCUAGGUGGUAUAAUCCAGACAAGAGAUGUGAUGUCAUGGUGGGGUCCUUAGCCAUUUCAAUUGAAUAAUUGCAAGAAUCGAGUCCGCAAAUUGGUGAGCAAAAGACGAGUGGAGUUUGCGAAGGAGGGUGUCAUUGGCUAAAUUGUCGCUAGAACAUCCUCAGAAUGACGAGUGAUCGGAAUUGCUUGGCAAAACAGAGAUAUUGCCAAAGAGGCUGAUCUAAGAAGGGGUUAAACUGUCAAUCAUUUUUGUUAUGAAUUUUUGCCAUUCUGCAUUUUGUUUCGGGAUCACAUCUCCUCCUUGAACGAAACAUGUCUUUCCUUUGUCUUCCUGUUGUUUUGAAAUCAAGAGAUGCUUCUUUCAAAGGGUAUUUUUACAAAAUAUUUUGAUCAAGCUCCAACAUGCGAUUAAGAUUAAUCAAUCCUGAAGAUUAAAAGUAUUUUGAUUGCAGAAAUAACUUGAUGCUUGAAAAUGACAUGAGGUGACCAAACAAUUUUUGAACUCAUACUUCCUGAAACUGAACCACACAUCAUAUAGCUAGUUUUAGCAGUAUGCAUAAUGACAUGUAGUGGAUUCAAUAGUUAUGGACUCGUGAAUCAUGAUUCUUACAAGUCCAAAUCAUUGCACUGGAUGAGGUCAAAAUUUAUCGAUUCUAACCGACCUUGCUUGAAAUGAGAAAAGGCCAUCUUUGUUAUACUUUCACAUUUCUUGAAAUAUUAUCCCUUGCAGUCCCAUUUUGAGCCUGGUAAAGUAUUUUCUUUCAAAAAGAAACCCUGACUAGGAUCACACCCUACAUUGGGGAAAAAUGAGAGAUAUUUUGAAGACACUGAUUGGACUAAUGGAUAAAAGAAAGGCUUAGAACAAAAGUCAAAUGAUUGAGAAAGGGCUAGAAGAAUAAAAGCCAUAGAUUGAGGGCCAUCCAAGAAAACUUUGAGGAAGGCUGUGAGAAAGCAAAAAAAAAAAGAAAAGAAAAAAAAGAGAUUGAAAAAAGAAGAAGUUGAAUCUGCCUUCACUUAAAGGCAAGUCAAAGAUAAAGGAAGGAGAAUGCCUAUCAAUUCUAAGAGUGGCAAAAGAGGUUUCAAUUGAAGAAAGACACAACAAAUGCCAAAAGUCAACACUAAAAAAAUCAAGUUUCAUGUUUUUUGGUGUGUCUAGGAUAAAGCCUUUAGUGUCUUUAAAAAAAAAUUUUUAGAUUGAUUAUUCAUCAUAGAAAAAGUUGGAUUUACAUUAUGACCUAUGUUAAGAGAAUUCUGAUCUUUGAGAUUAACAAGGUUAUAUGUCACUUUCUCCACAAUGACAACAAGAAAGAGAGUUGAUGAAUAGUUGAUGUUGAUCCUAAGUCUUUGAAAUCCUCAAACACUUUUUGAGCUUGUGAAAUUCCUUUCUUUCAUAGCCAUGAACCAUAGCUUGCAUUAUGUGCUUUUAAAAGCCCUUUUUAAUCAAGUAAGCAAUCUGAACCGAUAAAUGGCGAUCUCAAAACUUGAAGAGUUUUCCAUAAGAGUCAUAGCUUCAUGGAUUAAGCUAAUGGUUAUUAUGCAUGCUGAUAAAAUUGGUGUUAAAAAAAAAAAACAAUCUUUCUUGAUAAGUCCUCAAGUUUUGACUUGUGUCUUUUGUUUUUUGAAAUUCACAGAAGGUCACCUCAUCAUAGACCAUCAAAAGAUAUACCCGAAAUCAGAGUCUAAAAUGGAUACAAAGAACCAUGAAAAAAAAAACCAUUUUAGUCUUACAAUGGGUCAAUUUCUGUUUUCAAAAUACAUGACAAUCAAAGGACUGUAUAUUUCGAAUAACGUGUGUUGGAUCUUUGACCGAAGAAACUUGAUUUUCAAAAACUGACAUCUCUCUGAUUUCAUUUCAACAAUUAGACUUGAAUUGACAUGAUCUUUGAAAUAUGAGAGUUGAUUCCAGAACAAGAAAGAUUGUUAAACAACAAGAACAUCGACCGAAUUUGCAAAAUCCUUGACAAGAAUGACAUCAACACUUCUUGACACUCCUUGAAAAGUUGACCACCUGGAGGCAAUACAGUGGAUCAUGGGUAGGAAAACAAGCAGUAUUUAGAUCAGCUGGGGGCAAUUAAAGAUGAUCAAAUGAUGAAUCAAUGCACUAAGGACAAUAGUGUUUAAAGAAAGCUAAUCAGCAGGACAAACAUUCAGAUCAUUACUGGGGGCAAUGUUGUUCAAAGAUAGUCCAUGAUCUAGUGAACCCCGUCAACAAUCGGGAAAGCAAAGAUACACUUCAAGGAAAUCUUUUGAAACAUGGCUAUCGACCGAUGUGGGCAUACAGUUGCAUUCGAACGAAUAUGAAAAGAUGCACACCACCAAGAUUGAUUGCGGAACAAUGUUGUACUUGAAGGAUAAUGUCAUAUUAUCAUCUCCAACUUGGCUAUGACUUUUGAACGAUGUUAUCGCAUAGUUGUGAAUAUUGGAAGGAUGCACUCACCAAGACUGACUGUGGGACCAUAUGUUUUGGAGCUCAAUGCGCACUUCACCGUAUGAAUAUGGGUGAUAACAUGAACAUCAUUGAUGAUGUCGAGACAUUUCUUUUCACUAUCUGAUUUGACAAGCUGAGAGAAAUCCAUGAGAAAGAACAUUGAGCAUACAACGAUGAGUCUUUCACUGCAAGCUAUGAGAUGCAUGUCUGGACGAUUGGAUAAUUUCCAUGAAGACUGGUGAUAACAUUACUUGAAGAGUAUUGUUUCAGCUUGAGGCAAGUUUAUGACUGAUGGACAAUCAUGAUGGGUGUUGGCAUGAUGCACACAACCAAUCAGAGGAUAAUUCUUAGAAGAAUCCAGGAGAGAAAAUCCUUCACGAUGAAUCAAGCAACACCACACUUGGGGGCAGAGUCAAGCUUGAUAAACCACAAGAGCAGUAACCGUUGAAGACAGCCUAGAUUGGGCACUGCACUUACAACUGAGUGGAUGGCUAGCACAUGAAUGAGUCAGUACAUGGGAAGGACAAAUAAAGCUUUGGAAUGCAAACAAAGGCACCCUGUGAUGAUGGAACAUCGAAGAGAGGGGACCUAUAUUUCACAUCAGGUAAGGAUGCAUGCAUGUCAUCUAACCUCAAAGCAUUGCACAUACUUAUGAUUUGUUACAGAAAGAUCCUCAAUGAAGUCCAGCAAGAUUGUGGACAAAGAAAGAAUCAUUGAGUUGAUAACAGAGAAUCAUGGUUGUGACCUUGAAACGGGAAGAAGAUGAGAUAAACCUUACUGUUAGGAAAAUCUCAAAGAAAUGAAAAGAUCAACCUUGCAAUCAGGAAGCAUCGAGUUUUCAAACCCUGCGAUCAAGAAUUAUCAAGAAGCACCAAGUUUUCUGGCCCUUCUUCUAUCAUCCCUUCAGGACUUCGCCAGGUAAGUCCCAUUUCUCACACUUGUCACAUCACAUCUUUCAUUUGGGUAGGUCACCCAUAACAAUGAGACCACUUCAUAUUUUUUCUAUCCUCCACCUGGGUAGGUCACCCAUAACAAUGAGACCACUUCAUAUUUGUUCUAUCUUCCAUCUGGGUAGGUCACCCAUUAUAACGCGACCACUUCACAUUUUUUCUAUCUUCCAUCUGGGUAGGUCACCCAUAACAAUGAGACCACUUCACAUUUUUUCUAUCUUCCACCUGGGUAGGUCACCCAUAACAAUGAGACCACUUCACAUUUUUCUAUCUUCCAUCUGGGUAGGUCACCCAUUACAAUGAGACCACUUCAUAUUUUUUCUAUCCUCCACCUGGGUAGGUCACCCAUAAUAAUGAGACCACUUCAUAUUUGUUCUAUCUUCCAUCUGGGUAGGUCACCCAUUAUAACGCGACCACUUCACAUUUUUUCUAUCUUCCACCUGGGUAGGUCACCCAUUAUAACGCGACCACUUCACAUUUUUUCUAUCUUCCACCUGGGUAGGUCACCCAUUAUAAUGAGACCGCACUUCACAUUCUUUCCAUUUGGGUAGGUCACCCAUCAUAAUGAGACCGUUUUCCAUCAUUUUUUCUUGGGUUCGUCACCCAUACAAUGAGACCAUCAUUUUUUUUCUUGGGUUCGUCACCCAUACAAUGAGACCAUCAUUUUUUUUCUUGGGUUAGUCACCCAUACAAUGAGACCAUCAUUUUUCUGGGGUUCGUCACCCAUACAAUGAGACCACCAUUUUUCUGGGGUUCGUCACCCAUACAAUGAGACCACCAUUUUUCUGGGGUUCGUCACCCAUACAAUGAGACCAUCAUUUUUCUUGGGUUCGUCACCCAUACAAUGAGACCAUCAUUUUUCUUGGGUUUGUCACCCAUACAAUGAGACCAUUUGUUCCACAUUCUUUGUUUUGGUUUAAUGAGGUCGCCAGAUGAGAUCUCAUGUAGCUUUGGUUAAAGGGAAUCGCCAGAUGGGAUUUCAGGUUAACCGAGUUACGUCACAUUUUUUAGUUCCAGUUGAAUGAGGUUGCCAGAUGGAAUCUCAUGUAGCUUUGGUUAAAGGGAAUCGCCAGAUGGGAUUUCAGGUUGACCGAGCUACCACACAUUUUUUAGUUCCAGUUGAAUGAGGUUGCCAGAUGGAAUCUCAUGUAGCUUUGGUUAAAGGGAAUCGCCAGAUGGGAUUUCAGGUUGACCGAGCUACCACACAUUUUUUUAAGUUCAAGUUGAAUGAGGUCGCCAGAUGGGAUCUCAUGUAGCUUUGGUUAAAGGGAAUCGCCAGAUGGGAUUUCAGGUUGACCGAGCUACACACAUUCUUUGGUUUUGAAAAAGAAGAUCGCCAGAUGGGAUCUCAAGUUAACGAAAAAAAAGAAAAAGAAACAUUUAGAGUUUUUCUUUACAAAGCUUACUAUGCGAAACAUUGAGGAGUUUUGCUUCGUAAGCAUUGUAAAGAGGGGGCAUCUGUUGCUACCCAAUUUUUGACCCAUGUUUUGAUAAAUUUUUUAAAAAAUCCAAAAAUAGCGAAAAACAUUGAAAAUCCAAAAAAAUACAUUUUUAAUACAUUUGCAUCGUUUUUAGCAUUUUUAGCAUCAUCUUAAAAGAAUUUAAAUUUUCAACGACAUUUGGAACGCGUUCAACUUUUAACGCGUUAUUUUUAAAAUCAUUGAUUUUCUUCAUUGAGUCGACGUUGAUAUUGCUCGUUUUCAAAAAUACAAAAAAAUUAAGAAAAAUCAAAUUUUACAAAAAAGAAAGAAAGUUGAGGGACCAAUUUUGAGAUCCAUGCAACAUUUUACCUAUAAAUACUGGUUCACAACUCAAACAAAAGGGGGGGGGUAAUUUUGAAAUUUGAGGGGAGAGGCAACACAAAAACAGAAACCCUAAAAGCCUAAUUUUUUCUCCCCUCACGGGGGAGGCAGCCGCCAGCCCCCCACCGUUUGAUUUUUCUCUUCUCCCUCACCGAAAGAGAGAGCCGCCAGCCCCCCCUGGAUUAUUUUUCUCUUCUCCCUCAACCGGACAACCGAUCUUCCCCACCCUCACAAAUCAGCCUCACCGAAACCCACUGACCAGACGAUUUUCCUCCUCCCCUUGUCCUCUGCCAAACACAAACCAGGCCACACCCUUCUUCCCCUCACAGGAGCUAAACCUUCACCCAGCCAUACUCUCCCCUCAUCUCACCAGGGCUGUUCCUUCACAGCCGGUUUUCCCUCAGCCACUGUGAACGCCAUCUCCAGCCGCUCCCCCAUUUCAACAGAUCUUCCCUCUCAGCUGCUCCCUUCUCCAGCCGCCAGCUCGCCAGACCAAAAGGAGGGCAGAGCCGUUCCCCUUCGUUCUCCCCUCUCGUCGGCCGCCUCCUCAUCUUCCCCGAUCUCUUCAUCUCCAUCAACACCGAAGCUUCAUCCAGCAGCAGCCAACACACGGCAGCACCCACAGAGUCAACAGCCGUUCCCAUCUCCACCCGACAAACCCAGCAGACCCGAACCGGCCACCAGCUGCUGCACAGCCAUCGCCGCCCAAACGCCAGACCUGCCACCCAAAGCAGAGGAGAAGACGAAACCCACAACAAAUUGACCCGCCGUGUAGUCGAAGAAGGAGAAGGGAGAGAAGCCGAUCUGGACCAAAAAGAAAAAAUUAAAAUCAACUGCUGUUGUGCGUUGUUUCUCCUUGUUGCAGGUGACGGUGACCUUCACCGCCGACGUAGGGAGACAGAGAAGAAGAAGAGGUUCCCGAUCCACCGGUUUCUGCCACCUUCAUCGGCGGCGGCGCGUGGAACCACGCGCCGCCAGUGACGCCACUGUUCUGGCAGCUCCAGAAGUCGGCCUGACACUGUUCCGGGUUGUUUGGUUCAUUUUGUAAUUUUCAAAUUGUUUAAUGUAAUAUUUGUGUAAUUUUGAGUUUUUUUUUAUAAUUUGUACUUUGUGUAAAUGUGGAGGAAAAAGAAAAAAAGAAAAGAAAAGAAAAGAAAAGAAAAAAACAAAUAUUAAUAGAAAAAGAGUUGUGCGUGUUUUGUUUUUUUGUUAUGUAUAUUAUUGAAUAAAAA